AUUGAACGCUGGCGGCAGGCUUAACACAUGCAAGUCGAACGAGGUUAGGGAGCUUGCUCCUGAUACCUAGUGGCGAACGGGUGAGUAAUGCUUAGGAAUCUGCCUGAUAGUGGGGGAUAACUUGGGGAAACUCAAGCUAAUACCGCAUACGUCCUACGGGAGAAAGGGGGCUUUUAGCUCUCGCUAUCAGAUGAGCCUAAGUCGGAUUAGCUAGUUGGUGGGGUAAAGGCCUACCAAGGCGACGAUCUGUAACUGGUCUGAGAGGAUGAUCAGUCACACCGGAACUGAGACACGGUCCGGACUCCUACGGGAGGCAGCAGUGGGGAAUAUUGGACAAUGGGCGAAAGCCUGAUCCAGCCAUGCCGCGUGUGUGAAGAAGGCCUUUUGGUUGUAAAGCACUUUAAGUAGGGAGGAAAAGCUAAUGGUUAAUACCCAUUAGCCCUGACGUUACCUACAGAAUAAGCACCGGCUAACUCUGUGCCAGCAGCCGCGGUAAUACAGAGGGUGCAAGCGUUAAUCGGAAUUACUGGGCGUAAAGCGAGCGUAGGUGGUUCAUUAAGUCAGAUGUGAAAUCCCCGGGCUUAACCUGGGAACUGCAUCUGAUACUGGUGAACUAGAGUAGGUGAGAGGGAAGUAGAAUUCCAGGUGUAGCGGUGAAAUGCGUAGAGAUCUGGAGGAAUACCGAUGGCGAAGGCAGCUUCCUGGCAUCAUACUGACACUGAGGUUCGAAAGCGUGGGUAGCAAACAGGAUUAGAUACCCUGGUAGUCCACGCCGUAAACGAUGUCUACUAGUCGUUGGAUCUCUUGAAGAUUUAGUGACGCAGUUAACGCGAUAAGUAGACCGCCUGGGGAGUACGGCCGCAAGGUUAAAACUCAAAUGAAUUGACGGGGGCCCGCACAAGCGGUGGAGCAUGUGGUUUAAUUCGAUGCAACGCGAAGAACCUUACCUGGUCUUGACAUAUCUAGAAUCUUGCAGAGAUGCGAGAGUGCCUUCGGGAAUUAGAAUACAGGUGCUGCAUGGCUGUCGUCAGCUCGUGUCGUGAGAUGUUGGGUUAAGUCCCGCAACGAGCGCAACCCUUUUCCUUAGUUACCAGCGAUUCGGUCGGGAACUCUAAGGAUACUGCCAGUGACAAACUGGAGGAAGGCGGGGACGACGUCAAGUCAUCAUGGCCCUUACGACCAGGGCUACACACGUGCUACAAUGGUAGGUACAAAGGGUUGCUACACAGCGAUGUGAUGCCAAUCUCAAAAAGCCUAUCGUAGUCCGGAUUGGAGUCUGCAACUCGACUCCGUGAAGUCGGAAUCGCUAGUAAUCGCAGAUCAGAAUGCUGCGGUGAAUACGUUCCCGGGCCU
rnacentral:rRNA from 1 species